rnacentral:rRNA from 1 species
CCUACGGGUGGCAGCAGUGAGGAAUAUUGGUCAAUGGGCGCGAGCCUGAACCAGCCAAGUCGCGUGAGGGAAGACGGCCCUACGGGUUGUAAACCUCUUUUGCCGGGGAGCAAAGGGCGCCACGUGUGGCGCCACUGAGAGUACCCGGAGAAAAAGCAUCGGCUAACACCGUGCCAGCAGCCGGGGUAAAACGGAGGAAGCGAGGUUUAUCCGGAGUUAUGGGGUUAAAAGGGUGCGAGGACGGAUCGUUAAGUCAGUGGGAAAAUCUAGGGGUUAAACACCUUACUGCCAUUUAAACUGGCGUUCUUGAGUAGGAGAGAGGUAGGUGGAAUUCUUGGUGUAGGGGUAAAAUCCGUAGAUAUCAAGAAGAACACUCAUUGCGAAGGCGACCU